AAAAAAAAGUAUCAAGAGGAAUCAUAUCUGGUUCAUUGGAGUAUUGUGUUAAUUACUGGACUACAAUUUGAGAAUAUGAUCUAGUUCAGCUAGAGCAAAAUGCAGUUAGAUUUUGUAAAUGGCCAGACUUUGUAACUUUCUUGUCAAAAUUCAGUUAAAAUAUCACCAGAUUGUUAAAAUUCAGUUAAAUUAUCAACAGUUUGAGUUAACUGUCUAGUGCCAAACUCUUAGCAUUGCUCCUCCACUGAAUUUAGUUGUUGUCUACUGCCAAAAUUCAAUUAAAAUAUCAUGUCAUUUUGCAAAAACAUUUGUACCUUGUUUUUCAGACUAAAUGCAGUAGGUUAACUGAUCUGGUCCUGUGGCUGGUCAAAUUGUAUCAUGAGUAGUCAAAUUAUACCACUUUGGAAUUUUUCAUCUCACCAAUGAGUGUGUCUCCAAGGUUUUCUGCCACAAACAGAUGAUGCAAGCUUCCGGAUAUUUUUUUCAAAAAGAGGUACAGCAAACUUAAGGGUUCUUCCAUCCAUCUCAGCACUAUUUUAGCUAAUCCUGCAACAAAAAUGCUAAAACAUCCAUCAGUUUUAAUUUAGGUUCAGAGUAUACAACAACAACCAACAAACGUUCAGAGUAUACAACAACAACCAACAAACAACAACCAAGCCUUGUUUGUUGGUUGUUGUUGUAUACUCUGAACCUAAAUUAAAACUGAUGGAUGUUUUAGCAUUUGUGUUGCAGGAUUAGCUAAAAUAGUGCUGAGAUGGAUGUUUUAGCUAAAUUUAGGUUUAGAGUAUGCUAAAACAUAUUUUAGCGGGACAGCUUCAGUUCAGGUUCAUGCAAGAGGAUAGCUUUUAACCGAAAUUCGUUGGUGUAAUUUCAGUUAAUUGGAAAGAACAACUCUGCAAGUUAAUUGGAAAGAACAGGUAUUGCGGUUUCUUGUUCCUCAUAGUAAAUUUGUAGUACGCGCAUCAUGAAUCCUAAAUGUGAGAAUGCUUUGGAACAAAUUUAUGAGUUAUUUUUGCAACUCUAUACAAUAACAGGAGGACAUAAUUUAUAUGGAAAACUUCUCCUUCUAAGGCAGAUAUUAAUAUUCUUCAAUCCAUAGAAUAUUAUGAAAGGUCGCAUCAAAUACUAUCUGAGGCACAUCACAGGUGAAGUCGGCGAGUGUACGAUGUGUGCCAGGACUUGGACAAGUAUUGCUUUUGAUAUUAAUGGGAAAGACAAUGGAGGCUACUUUGCUCGACAAUACUAUCACGGUAGAUUUGGAAAUUGUAUACAACGGAGGCUACUUUGCUUGACAUAAACUUAUUGUUCAGGAUGCAUUCUGCAGGUUCCAUUACUGAUGUGGUGGCCUGGUUUGCGACAACAUACUGGUGGCAGCGAGCACCGAAAGAUAGAGAUGCACGUAAGGAAUUGUCUAUUAGUGGCAUCAAGCACCAGAAAAGAAGAUGCAAAAUAGGGUAGGGGAAAGAUAUGGCAGUGAAGAGAGUUGUUUGGUAUGUGCGUGUGUACGUGAUUGUUGGGUUGUUCUGUGUUGUAAGUGCAGUCGGAAUUUUUGGCCAACAUACUUGAAAGUAUAGUCUGUACACAUGUGAAUUAUAAUUUUGGCCACUGAA